rnacentral:rRNA from 2 species
UACGAAGGUGGCAAGCGUUAUUCGGAUUUACUGGGCGUACAGGGAGCGUAGGCGGUUUGGUAAGCCCUCUGUGAAAUCUCCAGGCUUAACCUGGAAAAGUCGGAGGGGACUGCUGGGCUAGAGGACGGGAGAGGAGCGCGGAAUUCCCGGUGUAGCGGUGAAAUGCGUAGAGAUCGGGAGGAAGGCCGGUGGCGAAGGCGGCGCUCUGGAACACGUUCGACGGUGAGGGAUGAAAGCUGGGGGAGCAAACCGG